rnacentral:rRNA from 1 species
GAUGAACGCUAGCGGCAGGCCUAACACAUGCAAGUCGAGGGAGAAGCCCUUCGGGGCGGAAACCGGCGCACGGGUGCGUAACGCGUAUGCAACCUACCUUUCACAGGGGGAUAGCCCGAAGAAAUUUGGAUUAAUACCCCAUAAUAUUAUUGGGUGGCAUCAUCUGAUAAUUAAAAUUACGAUGGUGGAAGAUGGGCAUGCGUCCUAUUAGCUAGUUGGAGUGGUAACGGCACCCCAAGGCUACGAUAGGUAGGGGUCCUGAGAGGGAGAUCCCCCACACUGGUACUGAGACAGGGACCAGACUCCUACGGGAGGCAGCAGUGAGGAAUAUUGGUCAAUGGUCGGAAGACUGAACCAGCCAUGCCGCGUGCAGGAAGAAUGCCUUAUGGGUUGUAAACUGCUUUUAUAUGGGAAGAAUAAGGAGCACGUGUGCUUGAUGACGGUACC